CUGCUGUUACUGAGUAAGACCACGGACACUAUCAUCAUUCGAUAUCGUGUGCAUUUCAACAGGUAGUAGGUAUACUGCUGUUGCAAAAUGCCACGAUUGUUUGCGUAUUCCUGGAUUAAUCUGUUUGUCUACAGGUAUGAAGAAACUUAAACGUUGCUGGACUUGGUGUAUAUUUUACAG